rnacentral:lncRNA from 1 species
AAAAUUCUUCACCCCUACCAUCUCAACCACCACACUAACAUACCCCAUCACUAGCCAAACCACCAUGUGCAUCGACCAUCACCACCAUUCCUCACCAUACAUUCACCACUCUCAAACCCACUGUUAAUACCCCAUCAACCACCAUACCCAAAGCCUAACCAAUCCAAAUCCCUUUUACUUGGUAAAAAUAAAACAAGCUCCAAAUCAAAACUUCAAAAACAAAAAAUAAUUAAGUCAGAAAAGAGAAGUAAAAAAAAAAAAAUCAAAGGAGAAAAAUUAUAAAGAGAAAAGAAAAAUAAAUAAAACGGAGACUCAUCUAAUAGAAUCGGAGUCUCCAGUGGUCUCCUUCCAAUUCCGAACGGUGGAUUUAACGCUUAGACUGAGAAGAACAACAUACCUUGGAACUGAGGCAACCAGAUGGCCGGAGAAGGAGAUCGGAAGACAUUCACUCCUAGUUUCAAGGCUUUGAAGAGUUUGUGGCAAAACUAAUAUGAGAUUUGAGACGAGAAGGAAGAG